AUGUGCCCCCUCCUCCUCGUCCUGAUCAGGCGGACCUCUCGAUCCGCCGUCAUCCUCCUUGUGCGAGGCCGCCGCCGCGUUGUCUCACUCACCUGCACCUCCAGGAGAGGCCGCCUGCGCCGCCCUUGCCCGGUCCCGGCCGGACACCGCCGUCAGGGCCCCGUUCCCACCUCCGGUGCGCCAAGACCGUUGCCUUGCGGCCGCCGCAGGCCAGCACCACCUCCGGCCUCCCCUUCAUCGGCAUCGUCCCCUGCUCCUCGCCUCGAGCAACGGUGCUUCAAGGCCGGCCUCCUGCAGCUCGUCGGUUGCCGGGGCUACCAAUACCAGCAAUCAGCCGCUCCGCCGCCGUUUUGCAGGAGCUCCACCUCCCUGCUUCGCCUCCGCCUCUCCUCUUGCUGCUGCUCAAGCCCUCGUCUGUCAUGGCCUUCCUCAUGCCCGUGCGUUUCUUUUCGUUCCCUGCACCGAUGCGUCGCCGGAGAAGCACCUGCUCCUCUUGCAGUCGAUGUGCCCUGCCUUGGCCUCCUGUUCACGAUGACCGGAAGACCGCAGGAGACUUCUCUGCCGCCUCCAUGCACCUCCGGUGACCUCCCGAGGCAGGGCCUUGGCAAGUCCCUUGAUGCCCCUUCAGAUUCAUCAAGACCGGCAAGUUCGACUUCGGCGCCAAGUUCGUCUUCAAAUCUGUACGACUACACCCGACGUGGAUUUCGGCGAGUACCUGGAGGCCACAACGAUGCCAAGUACCAUGACACUCAUGUUCGUCUACAGAAUGUGUACCACUACGCCGUCAAGACUGGACCGACAAGUACCCCAACGUCAUGUGAACAACGACCGCCGUCGAAUGACCCAGGUAGCAAAACGUCAAGUACCUAUGACCGAAGAACGCCAUGUACCUCUCUGAAAAAUGAAUAUGUACCACUACGUCCGGAGACCUUGAACCCGUCAAGUCCGACAACGUUUGUGUACAACUACCGACGACGUGCAUGUUGCCAAGUACCCUCUCCGGACCGUCAUGUUCGACUACCGAUAAACAUGUACCACUACCGUCGCCGAGAUCGCGAGAACCUCUACCGUCGACCCUAG
rnacentral:rRNA from 1 species